GGGGACAUAGCUCAGCAGUAGAGUCCUUGCCUUGCAUACAUGAGGCCCUGAGUUCAAUCCUUAGCAUCACCA
rnacentral:tRNA from 1 species